rnacentral:lncRNA from 1 species
AGCGGGUUUGUAAAUUUCUCAUAUUUGGGGAAUAUGAGAAAUUUACAGACCCGCUCCUCAACCACCCCUCCCUCAGUAUAAUUUGAUUUACCUCCCAGAAUGUGGGAGGUCACGUGACCAGCCUUUACAAGGGUCUCCGUCCCGCCGCGGGUGUGGAGGCCCUUGCUUGCGAGGUUGCCACAAAUUGACCUGAAAUUUAUUGUAUAGAUGAGAAGGAUAGUCAACAUGCAGGCAAAAGUCUUUAGAACUAUUUAUAUUUUAUAUGUCUCAUAUAUCAUGUGCAAAUAUUAUAUAUCUUGUUUUAUCAUGACGACAAGACCUCUUUACCUGAUGUUGGCGUAUUGUAAAAUAUUGUGUUUACAUACUGUAUUUAGUAUCGGUAAUAGUAUGGUUUCGAGUGCAAUUUGGAAAAAAAUAUGCACGAAUGAUUGAAUUUUUCAAACACGAUGAGAAGUCUUUGAAAAACUCACGAGUGUUUGUCUUUUUCCAAAUUGAACAAGAAACCAUACUUUACUUGAUAGGCUAAUAUACGUGAAAAAAUUAUGCAGAAGCAAAUCCAUAGCCACUUGUACUGUAGGCAUGAAAUAAUUUACUCAUUUGAAUGGCUCAACAACUUAAUACAAGUUUUUAACUGUCAGAACACACAAAACUAAGUCCAACUAUCUUUUUGUUUUGCUGCUUGCCACAUAAUUCACUUUUUGACAUUGUAUUUACAUUUCUGGCACUCAAUUUCUUUCUUGCCACUGUAUUUCGAUAAGCCAAUCAGAAUCGAAUAAUUUUUUCAUGUGUAUUAUUGUAACUUAACCUCGUGUAGACUGAUAUAGUAAUUUAAUUUUAAGUUCUAAACUUGUAGAAUAUAAACAUACAUUGUCAAAUACAGUGGGAAUAUAAAAACUGAAAAUUUUAUCAGAAGCAAAUAUUAAAAUGAUGGUGAUUGAACUGACUUGUUUUUUAUGAUAUAAUCUCGAAUGGUCGGUCUCCCUCACAGCCGUUCUUUACCAAUGUAGUUAGCAACUAGACUAGUGCCAGUGUAGUCUCCUUCACAACCGUUCUUUACCAGUGUAGUUAGCAACUAGACUAGUGCCAGUGUAGUCUUCUCCUUCACAACCGUUCUUUACCAGUGUAGUUAGCAACUUGACUAGUACCAGUGUAGUCUCCUUCACAGCCGUUCUUUACCAAUGUAGUUAGCGACUAGACUAGUAC